rnacentral:rRNA from 1 species
GUAGGGAAUAUUGGGCAAUGGAUGAAAGUCUGACCCAGCCAUGCCGCGUGCCGGAUGAAGGCGCUCUGCGUUGUAAACGGCUUUUAUUCGGGAAGAAGAGUAGGGAUGCGUCCUUAUGUGACGGUACCGAAUGAAUAAGCACCGGCUAACUCCGUGCCAGCAGCCGCGGUAAUACGGAGGGUGCGAGCGUUGUCCGGAUUUAUUGGGUUUAAAGGGUGCGUAGGUGGCUUAAUAAGUCAGUGGUGAAAUACGGUUGCUCAACAAUCGAGGUGCCAUUGAUACUGUUAAGCUUGAAAUAAUUGGAGGCUGCCGGAAUGGAUGGUGUAGCGGUGAAAUGCAUAGAUAUCAUCCAGAACACCGAUUGCGAAGGCAGGUGGCUACGAUUUAUUUGACACUGAUGCACGAAAGCAUGGGGAGCAAACAGGAUUAGAAACCCCAGUAGUCC